GACGAACGCUGGCGGCGUGCUUAACACAUGCAAGUCGAACGGGCUGCCUGGUUUUCGGAUCGGGUGGUGAGUGGCGAACGGGUGAGUAACACGUGAGUAACCUGCCCCUCUCUUUGGGAUAACGUCGGGAAAUCGGCGCUAAUACCGGGUAUUCUGGCUUCCUCGCAUGGGGUUGUUGGGAAAGGUUUUUUCUGGUGGGGGAUGGGCUCGCGGCCUAUCAGCUCGUUGGUGGGGUGAUGGCCUACCAAGGCGGUGACGGGUAGCCGGCCUGAGAGGGUGUCCGGCCACACUGGGACUGAGACACGGCCCAGACUCCUACGGGAGGCAGCAGUGGGGAAUAUUGCACAAUGGGCGGAAGCCUGAUGCAGCGACGCCGCGUGGGGGAUGACGGCCUUCGGGUUGUAAACCUCUUUCAGUGCAGAACAAGGCUCUUUGUGGGUUGAGGGUAUGCGCAGAAGAAGCGCCGGCUAACUACGUG
rnacentral:rRNA from 1 species